GGCUGGGGUCAGGCUCUGCCAGAGAAAAGGAAAGUAAGCCGGGAUCCUCACAGGGAGAGGGAGACCAGGAGGAGGUUCUUCGGGCAGUGAGAAGGAGUCUCAACUGGCAGCAAGAAGGCGUGCUCGUGUGGUGCAGAAGCUCAUGUUCCCUGUCAGAUUCCUCAAUUUAAAAAUUCUUCAAAUGUCUAACCCAAAUCCAUAUCGGAGAAUGUGAAGUCCUGAGGUUGGAGGCUGUAGUUUUCACUUAACGUUGUUCACGUGUUACCGCCUAAACGUCACCGAGCAGCAGAGACUGCCAGAUGGACCCCACACCUGGUGAGUGGCCACAGCUCUCCUUGUGGGUUGUCCUGUCUUUAAGUUGUACAUCAGCAGUUCCUACCAGAAAAGCCACCUUGACUCUGCUUGCCUGGACCGAGGGAAGUCAUGAACUAUCUUAUCUAGACUCAGCACUGCCCUCCUGUGUGGAGUGCGUCUGUGCUUUACCCCAAUUGUUCUUGCUUCUCCCCACCCACUCCGAACAUGGCUUAGCAGGACCGUGUCCCAAGUCAGCAAUGGAAUAAAAACAUUUUGUAAAGGGA